rnacentral:rRNA from 1 species
UACGUAGGGCGCAAGCGUUGCCCGGAAUUAUUGGGCGUAAAGAGCUCGUAGGCGGUUUGUCGCGUCUGCUGUGAAAACUGGAGGCUCAACCUCCAGCCUGCAGUGGGUACGGGCAAACUAGAGUGCGGUAGGGGAGAUUGGAAUUCCUGGUGUAGCGGUGGAAUGCGCAGAUAUCAGGAGGAACACCGAUGGCGAAGGCAGAUCUCUGGGCCGUAACUGACGCUGAGGAGCGAAAGCAUGGGGAGCGAACAGG